rnacentral:rRNA from 1 species
UACAGAGGGGGCAAGCGUUGUUCGGAAUUACUGGGCGUAAAGGGCGCGUAGGCGGCCCGUUAAGUCGAACGUGAAAUCCCCAGGCUCAACCUGGGAACUGCGUCUGAUACUGGAUGGCUUGAAUUCGGGAGAGGGAUGCGGAAUUCCAGGUGUAGCGGUGAAAUGCGUAGAUAUCUGGAGGAACACCGGUGGCGAAGGCGGCAUCCUGGACCGACAUUGACGCUGAGGCGCGAAAGCCAGGGGAGCAAACGGG